AUUUCAUGCGCUCUCAAAGUCGCUUCAUAGUGUCUGAGUGUGAACGGCAGCUCUAAAUGCUCUUGACUUCUCCUGUAUCUGUCGGUAGGUAGAGCUCUCUCUCUCUCUCUCUCUCUCUCUCUCUCUCAGUUUGUCUGUAACUUGCUCCUUCCCUUUAACACCAUAGGCAAAUUCCUCAAAAUCCCGGCGGUGUGGCGUUUUCACACGCGAUUUGUACUCAUCAGUCUUGCCGGCUAAGACAGGCUAGGAAGAAAAUGACAAGGAUUUGGGGCAGGGGGCUGAAGAGGAGACGUGGAGGGAGAGCAGCCUUCAGCCAGGGAAGGGGGGAGCCAGAAAACCCCCACAUCUAAUGAAUGAAGCGGGGUUAUGAAAGCCUCCAUUGAAAAUCCACAGCUGGAAAGAACAGGAAAGGAUCAUGGCAAGGACAGACAGUAAACAUUUUCUUACACAAAGCUACUUGGAGGAGACAGAAAAAGUGAGACAGAAAGUAUGUACUCUUUUAUUUGGGGAGGGGGUGUCGGGGGGUCAUGAUUGCAUCGGUCCCCUUCAAUUGAAGGCAGUUCUCUCCCUCUUUUCCUUCUGCCAGAUCUGUAAACGUGUCUUCCCUCCCUCCUCCCCCCCACCCACCCAACCUCUGUAUUUUCUGCACUGGAAGUAGUAACCAUUCAUUGAGAUCUUUCACGUGAGAGCCUUCAUUUUAUGACCGCAUGAAGGAAUUUGCCCAUUAAAAUAUAGCAUCCCAAUCAACAGUCCUGGACCUCCUCCCCCCCCCUCCCCACCCCUUUUCUGUCUCGGGAGGGGGAAGUUUGCAAAUAAAUAUUUCCCUCAUCUUAAAAAAAAAAAGGAACUGGAGAGGAGCCCAUCAGGAGAGCGCCUCUACAUGAUCCUGGGAGAUUGAGUGACAGUGUCGCCUUUACAGGGGACAACCCCUCCCUUCCAAAUUUGCCCCUAAACUCUUCCAUUAAAAAAAGGGAGGCAACUCAUUUCAGACCAAAUCCAGGAAAUGCUUCCUCAUCUGAAGAGUGAAGGAGGAAAAUACAUUUUGAAACCCGACUGGCGAAGAGAUUUUCAGGCUUUCUUAUCACCCCCCUCCCCAAACAGCAAAGUCCAAAUCCCUGUGCCUUGUGACAGCAAUCGGUUAAAAAUCUCUCGUGAGAUUGUAAAGUGGAUGUGGUUUUUUUAGCAGAUCUCUUUCCAAUAGGAAGAAGGGGGGGGACAAGGGGACUCCUUCCUUCCAAUGUUUAUUAGCCUUCCCAAAUCAAAUAAAUAGGCACGUGUUGUCUUUGGAAAGGCUUCAUGGACUGGGAUUUGGAUGAUUUCCCCCCCAAAUACACAAUGACCUGUAUCAAUGGGAAACAUCAAAGGGAGAGAAUAUUUCAAGGAAAUAUUCCUUGAUAUAUCCUCCAUCCAAGGGAGAUAAUGUUUCAAGGAAAAGAUAUAUGGACACUGAGAAACGAUUACCCACAAAUUAAAAAAUAAAGAGUAAGCACGGUGGGAUUAACAGGUCGAUUUUAGCUUGAGAAGCCACGAUGUUGACCCCUCCUUCCCCCCCAGAAAAUAGCAAAUAACAUGGGGGAAAGACAGGUGGGAAUAGAAGAUUUAAUUAGCAGCUAAUAGUCGAGCUAUUUUAUAUAAGUAGCCUCCCUAUAAUGCCCACUUUUCCAGCCCUUCUAGCUAACCAUGCUAGGAAUGGAUUGAAUCAUCUGGAGAAUGAGGAUCCCAAGCUAUUCCACGAUGUGGCUGGAAAAGAAAAGAUGUCAAAUAUGGGGAUGAUUUGAAUUGUAUCUCCUAGAAAUUGAAUUUUGUCUCCCCCCCCCCCAACCGAAUACGCAUUUGUGUCAUAAUCAAAGAGGCACUGGGUAGUUGAGUCAUAUUUGUUUAAUUGCGUGAGAGCUUAACAAUAAAUGUUUCCCUUCAAGGUCUGUUUUUUGGGGUUUAUUUAAAGAACCACACACACUCAUCAGAUCAGUGAUGUGCAAUUCUCUGGGCUUUAAAAAAAAAUCGUGACAUUUACGGUGCUGCUCUUUGUCUCUUCCGCGUUGUGUUUUGUGCCUCCGUGGGAGUUUGUGGAGCUCCGUGUUUCCCAUGUUAGUUUGUGUAUGCGUGCUUUGCAAUGUAGCUUUAUAAAUACAACUGUAUUGUACUUUAAGAGACGUCAUUGUACGGAUUUCGGGUUUAUUCCCCACCUCCCUCCCCCUUUUCCUCUUCUGCUUUGCAACCCAAAAUGUGAUCGCCUCCGCUAUUCCUUCCCUUCGCCAAGAGCCUCUGCAACAUGUGUAACGUGUGUUAGCGCUAAUAAAGAACAAGACUUCAAACAAA